rnacentral:lncRNA from 1 species
UUUUGUUUGGGGUUUUCAGCAGGUGAACGCUCCUCCAUAAAUCGUACUCCAUUGCUGGAAAGUAUCAGGUGAACGCUUCAAUCAAACGUGUUUUGGAUUAUCUGUGGAACCCAAUUCGAGUUUCCAAGUGCAGUUCUAUCAACCCCCACUACCCAAAAUUGCGCUACACUUUUCUUAUAGAAAACAUACAUCCAACACUCUGGUUCUCUAGACGCAGAAGGGGAAGAGCAAGAUUCGAGAGCUGACUCUUCGAGAAAUUAGCGACAUUAAGCCAUCACUAUCAUCUUCUUCAGCAGCAAUUUCGUUAGCAUGAAAUUAGUUUAUUCGAUUGGCAGCAGGUGGCAACACAUAGGUAGAGCAUCCACUUCAACUGUUAUAAGUUGAUAUAAUUCAAUUAUAGAAUUUGACAAAAUUGUGGACCAUCUUGCAACUGUAGAUCGUGGGGUUAAUGUUGUUUUAUUUGAAAGAACUGAGAAAACACAUUUUUAAAAAGUGAGAGACACCCAAAAGCGACGAGGUCUAAAACUGAGGCGUGAAGUGCAAAAGCGGCAGGCUUUUCGUACCCAAGGCGCAAAGUGAGUAUAUAAAAUAUAUUACAACAGUUUGAUGCAUAAAGACAACGUAAAAACACCCUAGGUACAAGAGGCGCGCUCCUCAGGUCAGAAAAGCCGUCCAAAAUUGCUCUUUUUGGUGCUUCUUGUAAGAAGCACGCCUCGGGCUAUUAAAGGCGCAAAGGCUUGCGCCUCGCGCGUCAGGCGCACUUUUUAAAACCCAGAAUAGGAUGUGGUGUUAUAGAAGAGUUUAAGGAGGAAUAGAUUGUUUCCACAACCCACACCCUGAAUUUCAUUAUAUAACCGAAUUCCAAAGUCAUGAGCCAAAGGUAUGCAUUAUCUCCAUCUUUUUCUUGUAACAAAAUUAGAUUCCUUGUGGUUCGUUUCAUGUGAAUUAAUUCUACUGUUGGUGCUUGUAUCUUCGGUUUGACUAUCUAAAAAGCUUGGAAAUUGAGGAGAAUAUCAACUAGAUCAGAUGGUGUUACAGAACUAACUACGCUAUGUUUUUGCUGUCCUUUGAUUAUAAAACUCUAAAAUUCUUUAAGGUACGGGUUCUAGAAAAAAGGUCUGAUAGUAUUAUAGUACUAUUGUAAUAGGUUGCCAUAUAAUGUUUUUUUAUAUUAUACACGGUCUAAGGUGGCAUCAUGGGGGUUGGGUGGGUCGCGUAACCUGUUAAAACGGAUACUAUUUUUUGGGUGGUUCCAAGCAUGUUGGAUCGGGUGAGUUGACCUGUGAUUACAGAAACUAUUAUUAGUGUAAUAUUUUAAUUUUUAAUAGAAUUAUCUAAGACUUUCUUUGCAUUGAAGGGUCGAAACUGGUUUUUUUUUUCUUUUGUGGAUUAGAUGGGUCGCGUAACCUUUCCCGAUUGCAACACCAACACGUUGUGUGUUACCAUCAGGUAAGUUUCUAUGCUGUCCUUUUUCACAAUAUAUAAGAGGUAGUAAAAUGGGCAGGACUAACAAGGCCAGAAGGUGCAACUUUUUGUUACAGGUCAGGUCUAAACGAACGCUUUUUAUGUGUGAAUUUAUUAAAUUUCUUUGCAAAUAAUUACUAUUUGGCACAUUUCGUUUUAAGUUAUAUUUUUACGUGUUUGGCCCGUUUGAGAUGAAACAUAGCUUGAAUUUACACUUCCAUAAGUGAAUGGGUCAAAGUUAGAAGACUGUUAUAUACUACAUCAAGUAGAAUGCCAUGUAAAAUAUGAUCAUGUCACUAGCUUUUGAAGGUGACUCAUAUGUAUUUUUCUAAAAUAAUCCAGGCAUGGUUUGCAACAGGAGAUGCAGGUUGUAAUGGUGAUGCCACAUGGGGUUCAAGGUCGGUGGUCAUCACAGCCACGUAGACUUUGUAUUCAAAAGACGAAAUUUAAAUAUAUACAUGGAUGGAUGCUACACUUCAUGAGCUAACUAAUCUGGUCUCAAUCCAAAUCAGCAGUUACGUAGGGUUGGGAACUAGCUCUACUCGAUUGUCCACUUAAUAUAGAUUAUCUUUGUUUUGUUUGUUACGAUGUCAACGUAACCCGUCCACUAGACGGAUAUUAAACUAGUUUAGUGUGUUAGAUUUAUAUAUUAUUUGUUAUUUAAAAUAUGUUCUGUUUUUUAUAAUCUAAUUUUAAUUAAACCUUAAAAAUGUAGUCAUUCGUUUAAUAAAAUGUGGUGUGAAUGGUU